UUUUAUCCAAAUCUUAAGGAGAGGAAAAUUUUCAAAUUUACCAAGGACUAUUCAUGAAUUUGGUCUUCUAAGGGCCCAAGCCAGAGUUCUGGGAUCUUCACCAGCUUUGUCAGGUAUCAAAACCUCUCAUUUCUUUCACUGAGGCUUUAACAGUGCUAGGCUGGUAUCUGCUAAGCUUGAAUAAGCUUUAGGGAACCUUCUCAGUGCACCUGAUUAUGUCCUUGAGUCUCAGAGAUUUUUUGCUUCCUGAGCUGAAGAAGAAAUAGAGGAACACUCCUUCUUGACUACCUUGAUGUUUAAUUUUAUGUGUCAACUUGGCUAGGCUAAGGUGCAUGGUUGUUUGGUCAAACACCAGUCUAGAUGUUGCUGUGAAGGUAUUUUUAAAAUAAAUCAGUAGACUUUGAAUGAAGCAGAUCAUCCUCCAUAAUGUGAGCAGAUCUCAUCCAAUCCACUGAAGGCCUUAGGAGAAAAGACUGAGGUUUCCUGAAGAAGAAAUUCUCUUAAGACUGCAACAUAGAAACCCUGCCAGAGUUGCUGGGCACAGUGGCGCAGGCCUGUAAUCCCAGCACUUUGGGAGGCCAAGGUGGGUGGAUCACCUGAGGUCAGGAGUUUGAGACCAGCCUGGCCAACAUGGUGAAACCCCAUCUGUAUUAAAAAUAAAAAAUUAUCCAGGCGUGGUGGCAGGCCCCUGUAAUCCCAGCUACUCGGGAGACUGAGGCAGGAGAAUUGCUUGAAUUAGGGUGGUGGAGGUUGCAGUGAGCCAAGAUCAUGCCACUGCACUCCAGCCUGGGUGACAGAGUGAGACUCUGUCUCCCCCACCCCCACCAAAAAAAAAAAAAAAAAAAAAAAAAUGAAACCCUGCCAGAGUUCCUAGCCUGCCCGGUCUGCCCAGUCUGCUCUAUAGACUUUGGACUCAAGCCUGCAAGCCUCACCUCUUACCUGAAUUUUCAGUCUGCUGACCUGCUCUGCAAAUUUUAGACUUGCCAGCUCCCAGAAUUACAUGAGCCACUUCCUGAAAAUCUCUCUCUCUCUCUCUCUCUCUCUCUCUCUCUCUCUCUCUCUAUAUAUAUAUAUAUAUAUAUAUAUGUAUAUACACACACACAUACAUGCAAUGUGUAGGUAGAUGCAUAGAUCUCCUAUUGGUUCUGUUAUUCUGGAGAACUGUGACUAAUACAACUUUUCUAAUAAGAAAGUUAUUCCUCUAUCUUUACUUUCCGCAUUUUUUCUAUUUGGGACUAGCAUUUGUAAUUUGCAUCAAAUACUUGUAUUUAUUUACAAGCAUUACUUCAUGAGCUCAUGAAGCUCUGAUAUAUUUCUAUUGUGCUGCUUCUUAUUUUUAUUGGAGAACCUUAUCAUCCAUUUAUCUUCAUAAAAAGAGAACAUUUCAAAAUUACAUUCAAUAGAAAGUAAUGUUAUAGCAGAAAUACAAAGUGAAAUCUCCAUACUUUGUUAAAAAUUUUUUUCAGAUGGAACUCUUAAAAACAUUUUAAGUCCUUGAGUGUAUCUACUGGAUAAUAUUCAUUUCCUUUUUUUUUUUUUAAAUAUAGUUAACUAUAUUUAGUGGAUUAUGGGUGGAGAAGAAGGAUAUUUGAAUAUUUAAGACACAAAAGACAAGAUUGAUACCAAGACUGACAACACAGAACAAAUGCCAAUUUACAGGAGAGAAGCUUCAAAAGUGUCCCACCGGGAGAGUGACUUUUCCAAGACUGUCAUGGGUAUCUUUCUCACUGGGGCUUGUGCUUCCCAAUGCUUGUGUGGCAGUACAGUGUCCAGCAGCAACUAUGACAACUAUGUGUGCUGCAAAGAAUUUUUCCAGAGGUGGGUGUCUCCAGGGCCACAGAGUUCCCUCUCAGUACUUUACAGGGGAAGUUAUUCUCUACUCUACACUUGAAAGUAGAGAAGAAAAGAAACACGUGUGAAAGUAUUUGGAAGUGCAUAAGUGGUGUGUGUAAAGGGGAAUGUCAUGUUCAGCCUUGUGUUUUUCCUUCCUUCUUCCUACUGGAACCCGUUUGAGUCUUUGUUACCCAGUUAGUAGAAGCUGUAGAUCUGAGUAGAAGUUUUCUUGUUUGUCAAAAGAGCAUUACCACUAGUGGUUGAGAGGGUGCAUUUCCAGAGAGAAAGAGGGGGCAGCAGCCCUUUUGCAACUUUUAAACAGCGAUGAGAAUUCUGGCCCUUUGUCUUUAAGCAUUAUAUUAAGCAGACUUUGACGUUUUUGUUUGAGCAUUUUACUCAACAUUACUAACCCCUUUUCCUUCUCUGGUCCCUGGGAAAACAUGGACUACCAUGCAAAAGCUCCUACCAAAUGCUGUGGCAUCUUCAAUCACAGUUCCUGCCCACCACAAGCAGGCCAAGUCCCUGAGCCACACACCUGAAUUGAUAAAUCUUCUAUAGAAGCAUAGAUUGGGCAUCCUUUGCUUGUCUCCAGCUUCUCUGCAUUGCACCGUUUUGCUACAUACCAUGAGAAUGACUCAACCUCUUGCACGCUCAAGUACCUGACUUUGAGCAGUUACCUUUCCUAAGUGAAAAGUGAGCAUCUGAAAAGAGAUCACUUGCUUUAGAAAUAUAUUAAAGAUGCCUGUUGUGCGGUGGGGGGAGGGGGGAGGGAUAGCAUUAGGAGAUAUACCUAAUGAAAAUGACGAGUUAAUGGGUGCAGCACACCAACAUGGCACAUGUAUACAUACAUAACAAACCUGCACGUUGUGCACAUGUACCCUAGAACUUAAAGUAUAAUGAAAAAAAAAAAAAAGAAAUAUAUUAAAGAUGGGUUUCCCUAUAAAGAAUGACUCCAAAACAUGAGAGAUGGUCCAUCUGAAUAAAUCCUUAAGUGAAAUAAAGACCAUGAUAGACAUUACUGAUGCUGGUAUACUUUGGACAAAUGAAUCCGGGGAACAGAAGAAACAACAUGGACCUGGGCGCAGAGGCUCACACCUGUAAUCCCAGCACUUUGGGAGGCCGAAGCAGGUGGAUCAGGAGUUCGAGGCCAGGAGUUCGAGAUCAGCCUGGCCAACAUGGUGAAACCUCGUCUCCACUAAAAAUGCAAAAAAUGAGCCGGGUGUGGUGGCGUGUGCCUGUAGUCUUGGCUGCUCAGGAGGCUGAGGCACAAGAAUCGCUUGAACCCAGGAGGUGGAGGCUGCAGUGAGCCAAAAUCAUGCCACUGUACUCUAGCCUAGGGUGACAGAAUGAGACUCUAUGUCAAUAAACAAACAAACAAAACAGAAGAAGAAACUACAAGGAGACUGGGAGUCUUUAUUAGGAGAAAGGAAAUUUAGUUUACCUGUAACUGGAAAUAGAGCUUAGAAUUGUAUUUAUGGGCUAAGACAGUGACAUGUACCCAGGUAUGGGAGAAACUUCAAAGCCUUGCUGACCUUUGGCCAUACAUACAAGCAGGUGUUCUCUCUUACAAAAGCCCCUUUCAAAUCCUAGGCACAUUUUAGUCACACAACUGCAAACUCAAAAUUAAUUUGCCUCAGUUCUAGUGGUGGUCAGGUCCAGUGGUCAGGUGGUGGGUGAAGACUGCAAUUUUAAAUAAAAUGGUUAGGGAAGGACUUGCAUUUAAGCAAAGACCUGAAGGAGGCAGGGAACAACUCAUGGAGAUAGCUGGGGACAAGGCUUCCAGAAGAAAAGUAAGAGCAAAGGUCUGACAGUGAAAGUUUGUCUAGGGUGUUCUGGGGCCAGCGAGGAGGCCUGUGAGGCUGGAGUGAAGUGAGGAAGGGAGGUGGAGGAGCUGGAGCUGGGGUGGCAGUGGGGCCCAGGUUGUGUGGAACUUCUGUAAGCACACAGGCUUCCCCUGAGUGAGUUGGGAGGGAGAGGAGUGACAUGACUUGACUUUUGUUUUAACGGGAUCAUUCUAGCUGCUGAUGAGAACAGACUAAAAGGGAACAAGGAUAGAAGCAAGGAGAUCAGGACGAGGUGUUUUCAGUAAGCCAGGAGAGAGAUGACAGUAGCUGGCACCAGGACGGGAGCAACCGAGGUGGCAAGAAGUGGUACGAUUCUGAAUAUAUUUCAAAGGUAGAUGGAUCUGCUGGUGGAUUAGAUAUGAAGUGUGAGAGAAAGAGAGGAGGCACAGAUGAGUCCAAGGUUGUCAGCCUGAGCCAUUGGAGGGAUGGAAUUACCUUAACUAAAUAGAGGAAGACUCAGGGAGAGGCAGGUCUUGGGAGAAGCAUCAGAAGUUCAGUUUGGGAUGUGCCUAACAGAGACAUUGAAUAGGCAGCUGAAUACAUGAGUGUAAACAAGUCAGGACUGCAGUUAUCAAUUUGGGAGUCAUAUACAUGGAAAUGAAAGCCACAAGACUGAAUGAGUUUCCCAAGAAAGAAAAUAUAGACAGAAUCUAAGGGAAAGAGCCAAAGACUGAGCCCUGGAGCACUCCAAUGGUUAAAGUCAGUAGGAACCAGCCAAGGAGAUGGAGAAAUAGCAGCCAUUGAGGAAAGAGGAAAGCCAGGUGAGAGGGGUAUUAUGAAAACCAGAGGAAGGUCGGGCACAGUGGCUCUCACCUGUAAUCCCAGCACUUUGGGAGGCUGAGGCGGGCGGAUCACCUGAGGUCAGGAGUUUGAGACCAGCCUGACCAACAUGGAGAAACCCCAUCUCUACCAAAGAUACAAAAUUAACCGGGCGCAGUGGUGCAUGUCUGUAAUCCCAGCUACUCAGGAGGCUGAGGCAGGAGAAUCACUUGAACCCGGGAGGCAGAGGUUGCAGUGAGCCGAGAUCGCACCAUUGCACUCCAGCCUGGGUGACAAGAGUAAAACUCCGUCAAAAAAAAAAAAAUAGAAAGAGAGAGAGAAGGAAGGAAGGAAAGAAAGAAAGAAAGAAAGAAAGAAAGAAAGAAAGAAAGAAAGAAAGAAAGAAAGAAAGAAAGAAAGAAAAGAAAAGAAAAGAAAAGAAAAGAAAAGAAAAGAAAAGAAAAGAAAGGAAAAAGAAAACCAGAGGAAGAAAAUGUUUUACGGGGGAAAAAGGGGAUCCACUGUUGAACAGUGCCGAUGAGUCAAGUAAGAAUGAGGGAUAUUUGCCUGGGAUUUUGCAAUGUGGGGAACAUUAGUAAUUGUAACAAGGGCAGUUUAUGUAGAGAGCUGGGGGUAGAAGCCUGAAUGAGUGGGCUCAGGAGGGAACGGGAUUAGAAGAACUACAGACAGGGAGGAUAGAUGACUAUUUUGAAGAGUUCUUCUGCAGAGAGUGCAAGAAUAGAGCAGUAGCUAGAGGUGAAAGUGAGGUGAAGAGAGGGUUUUUUUCUUUUUUUAAAGUGGGUGAAAUAAUCCUGCAUUUGCACACUAAUGGAAAUGUCUAAUAGAGAGAAAAAAUGUUGAUGCAUCAGAGAAGCAGAGAAUAGCUGGAGAAAUUCUUUUCUCAGCACGUCUCAUAGAACUGAAGACAUUCUAACCUAUGCCAAAGUUUGUUCCUAUCCUAUGCACAGUGAAAUGUCAGCAAUUCUGGUCAAGGAAAUAGUUUCUGCAGGGGCAGAAGUGGAAAGAGUUUCCGAGGUCCUUUGGAAAGUCACACCCCUGUAUCUUGGAGCCUGAGGGCAGGGUUUGUGUGGACAAAAGUGCUAACCCAAGGGUCUCAGCUUUGACUCGAAGAUAAAUUCUUCUGGGCAUUUGCAUGAAUCCCACCCAAGCAACCUCUCUGUACAAUAUAGCUUAUAAUAAGACCUCGCUAAAACAGAUUUUACCAUUUGUGAUUAUUGGAAGAGACAAAAAUCAAAGUUUCCCCUUUUACCUCAGAGACAAUUGUUUCCAUAGAAAAUUAAGGCUGUUUACAAAAUUACAUGGGAAAUUUUACUUCGCUUUGUAAAAGGCUUCAGACAUUAUCUUCAGUGUGAUUGCAAAUAAUAAAUUCCAAUUUAAGGAGAUACCUGGGGUAAGCCUGUGCUUUCUUAUACCAAAUCAAAAAUUUUUUUCUCCAUUUCACUGAGGUUCUGUAGUAGGCAAUGCUGUCUUAGCAUGUUUUGAAUUAUUAUAGCAUAGUACUAGAAAAUAAUAAAACUGCCUUUUCUAUAAAAAUAUCCUAUCAGUCUGAUUUUUAAAUAAGUGAGAAAAAUUUCUCUCCUUAGGUAUGGUUUGGAGAAAUUUUAAAUGGUUGAUACCUUCCUAAGCACUCCUUAAAAAAAGAAAACCAAUUCAAUCAGCUUUUCAAUAUUUUCCACUGAAUUACCCCUAAUAGCAGAGGACAGCAAACACAUACUCUGGAGAAUAUGGGGUGUGGCCAAAGUGGCCAAGGAAAUCACAAAAUUUCUUUGAAGUCUCCUUUUUAAAUAUUAAAAUUCAUAUGAAUUUUUCAUUUUAUACCAUACUAAUGCAAAGUGUAAAAUACACAUUAAAAUAUGUUUUAAAUUAUCAUUCAGAGGGAAAAGUGUUCUACUUGUCUCACUGGUUCAAUGAAGAAGCUGCUUUUCAUCGAUUCUGUCCAUGUCAGAAAACUGGGCUGAACUGAAAGCAGCUAACACCAGAUUCAUCAUUUAGGCAAUCUGUCUUCUCUGUCUUGGAGAAGUUUUGAACUCAGUGACUCUAGAACCCAGACCUACAAAAACAUAUUGAUAAAAUUGCAACAGUUUUUCACUGCUUUAUGUGCGAUGAAAGGGUAAAACUAGGAAAUAUUCUUAGAACGCUGCUGGAGAGAAAGUUAUGGUGCAAUAUUUUCAGGUUCCUGUGAAAGAAAAUUUCAAUAGUUGCAUCAUCCUACUUACAAGCAAAAUAACCUACCUCAUAUGAUGGGGUCUCCAGUCUGGUUACCCUCUCACUGUUUCAGGAACAUUCAUAAGAGCUGGAAUGUGGUAUCUUUUUUGUCAGCACUUCUUUUAAAAUGGUCUGAGACUACUUACUAAAUCAGAACUUCUGGGUGCAGGGCACUAGAAUCUGCAUUUUAGCAAGCCUUCCAGGUUGUUCUGGUGCACAUUACAUGUUUAAACAUUUUCUGGAAGAACAUAAAAUGAAAGAAAUCAAUUUCAGUGUAAAAAGAAUCAGAAGAAACAAUAGAGAAGAAAAUUGGGACAAUUUUAUGACUUUCUCCAGCAAUGAUUAUCUGAUCAGGCAGAGAGUAAGUUCUUGCUGAGGGUUGUAGCGGACAAGUUAAUUUCCUUCCCAGCAUCCAUUUCCCCCUUCUCCCUCCCAAAAGAAUGUCAUUUUCUUCAUCCCUCUUUCCUGCAUCAACGUGCCCCAAGUGAAUGCCACCCUCCCAAUUCCAAAGGUAGUUCGGAUAAAUCCCAUCCUAAAUGCCAAUGACUGGUCAGGAAUGGGCAGAUGACCCAAGGGGCCAACAAAAUAUGAUAGGAGUCCUGUUAAGGGGAUUCUAGGGAAAGUUUCUGCUUCUAUGAAAGAGCUACACAGAAAAAAGUAACACUAGGUUAUGAUCCCAGGAACUGCUGCCUUCAUCUUGCUGUCAGCCUAAGGAUAAGCCAACAAUGAGGGAGGCUUUCCAUCCAGAAAGAUGGAAAAAAACUUGGUCAUAAGGUAGUUGAAUUUCCUUACUGCUAAACUUCCUAUUGUGUGCAAUAAGUUUUCUUGUUUAACCUACUUUAAGUAAAGCUUCCAUUACGUGCAACCAAAAGGAACCCAAAUCAUGUGGGGGUUAUUCAGGGUUGAUGUUUUAAAAAUGAAAAUUUGAAUAUGGCGUGGCAAAGUGGGUGUGACCACAGAAGGAAAUGACAACCAGGCUUGAAUGGAAGUUUACUGUACUCACAGGCCCAGAGAGGGGUCACCACAUACCACACAGGUCCACAAGGGAAUCGUCAAGUUUUGGUCAUGUGGCGGAAGACAGGAGCUGGGGGAAGCUUAGACGUGAGUCUUUGUUGAGGUUUCCUUGGGAAAGGCAAGGCAGAGCAGAGAAAGCAGCUUGGGAUUGACUAGUUUGAAUAAUUCUGACCAGCUCUGGGCUAUAGGAGUGGUCUGCAGUUGCCUGAUUUAGAGCAGGGGAAAUAUUGGUUUGGUGUCUGAGAGAUCGAUAAGGAGAUGGCAGGGCUAUCGACUUGGGAUUGGUUGGUUUGUAUAUGAAAAAUGUGCUCCUAGCCAAGCCCUUUGCUAUCUCUAAGAAUUAGCAAGACCUGAAAGGGGCAGUCUUUCUCUGGCCAGCAAGAUGUCAAAACAUCAUGAAAUACAGAAAAUAAAAAACACAAUUAAUACAACUGGAUAUCUUCAAAACAAAUAAUGGCAGUUAAAAGCAUAAGAUUCCAGAGUGUUAGUAAGGGUUCUUCAACUGUAAAAAGAGUCCAUUUAAACCAAAGGAGUAGAGUUCUAGGGAGACAUGAUUGUCUGAGAAGCACAUUUAUCAGAGCUAACCAAGCAAAAAGGGGAGGUGAGAGAUGAAGACAGGGAAGAUCAGAGGCAUUUCCGGCAAAGGGAAAAUGUGUAAAAUCCCUGGGGCAGAAGAGAGCAUGGCUCUGGGGUAGCCAGAGUGGAGGGAAGCCAGGGAAAGUGGCAGUGAGACAGGCUGGAGGUGGGCGGACGCAAGGCCAUGUGGGGCCCUGUAGUCCAUUGUAAGGAUUUGGGACUUUGUUUUAGAGAAAAAUGAGAAUUCCACUGAGAGACUUUGCGGAGAUGGGGAGAAGAGGGGACCAGAUUUCCGUACUGAGAGGUCAGUCUGGCUGCUGAGGCUUGAGGAAGCUGUGGCAAUGGUUCAGGUGAGAGAUAUUGGUAGCUUGGACUAGAAUGGAGGCAGCGAGGAUGAAAAAAAUAAGUAGGUUGUUGAUUAAUUUGUUCUAAGCUGAAGGUGUACAUUUGGCAGAUUUCCUAUAGAUCAUAAUGAAAUCAUGGGUAGUAAAGUGAGGGAAGGAUCUAGUGAAGAAUGAGAAAGAAAUAGGGCCUUGAAAAGAGUCCUAAGGAAGCCGAAGACUUUCGAGUCCUUUAGACUCCAGGGCUUGGUAAACUUAUCCUGUAAAGGAUCAGAUAGUAAAUAUUUUAGGCUUUGUAGCCAAGAAUCAGAAUCAAGAUAUUAUGUGGGUACUUAUAUAACAGAGAGGAAAAAGAAGCCAUAAAGCUGUUAUCGACAAAAUUCAAAAUAUAAUAAAAAUUGAG
rnacentral:lncRNA from 10 species